rnacentral:misc_RNA from 1 species
AAGUCGUAACAAGGUUUCCCGUAGGUGAACCCUGCGGAAGGAUCAUUAGAGAUUGUGCGCAAGCACUUUUGCCCCAUUUGCUACACCUGUGCACCGUGGUCUCCGGACCUACAAACCUGUAGUCAUGAACGUAUGUCAUAAUAAUCAAUAAAAG